GUCCCCUUCGUCUAGAGGUAGGACAUCACCCUUUCACGGUGGCAACAGGGGUUCAACCCCCCUAGGGGACA
rnacentral:tRNA from 2 species